UUUUUUUUUGCUUUUUAGGGCCACACCCAAGGCAUAGGGAGGGUCCCAGGCUAGGGGUCAAAUCAGAGCUACAGCUGCUGGCCUACACCACAGCCACAGCAAUGUGGGAUCCCAGCUAUGUCUGCAACCUACACCACAGAUCAUGGCAAUGCUGGGAUCUUUAACCCACUGAGUGAGGCCAGGGAUCUAAUGCUGCCAGGGAUCCGAUGUGCAACCUCAUGGUUCCUAGCGGGAUUCAUUUCCGCUGCACACAAUGGGGAACUCAUAGAGCUCUCCCUUUCUGAAAGCAUUAAGUGAAUUGUCAUAUUUACUUCUGGGAAAACCAUAAUGUUACAAAGUAUCUUUUUGGCCACACCCACGGCAUGCAGAAGUUCCCCACCUAGCCACCAAACCCGUGCCACAGCAGGGACAGCACCCCCUGAGCCACCAGGGAACUCCUACCAAGCAUCUGGCUUUUUUGUUGUUGUUGUUUCUUGUCCAUCAAUAGUGGACUAAAUAGUGCCCAAUGAUAUCUAAGUAAUUUGAAAAUGAUUAUGUAUUCAUUCGCUUGUUUCAAAAAGUAUAGAUACAUCAAGCAACUCUGAUGUGUUAGGGAUAACUUUGUUAAUCAACAGGCAAAGGGAGGAGCAGGGCCAUCACGAGUCAGUACCGCCAGGAGGCAGCGGGAUAGCUCGCCGGUGUUGUCGGCAGUCUGGCUCUCCAAGGCAUCCGUCCCCGUGGAUGAGAAGGACCCGGUGGGGAGGAGCGGAGGAAUCCACAGAGGGGACGGAAAGAACAAGUGGUGACGCAGGAGGGAGACCUGGGCGCCGAGGCUGCCUGGAGGCCAUGGAGGAAUGCACGCCAAAGGGAGAGUCUGGCAGCGUGGACAAGGCGCAUAGGUUGUGGGUUCAAUCCCUGGCCUCGCUCAGUGGGUUAAGGAUCCUGUGUUGCUCUGGCUGGCAUCCGUGGCUCCGAUUCAACCCCUAGCCUGGGAACCUCCCUGUGGGGCAGAUGUGGUCCUAAAAAGCACACACACACACACACACACACACACACAAAGUGAAGGCCAUAGUUGAGUUGAGGGCAAAGGCUGACAAGCGAGUUUGAGACAAGAGUUUAACAGAGCGGGAGACAGUGAUACAGACAACUCUAUCCUUUGGGGUUUUUUUAAUUAUUCUUUUUAAAUUUUUUAUAUUUAUUUAUUUAUUUUUAUUAAUGUAUAGAUGACUUACAAUGUUCAUGCCUGUAUUCUUUCUUUCUUUCUUUCUUUUUUUAUGUGUGUGUGUGUCUUUUCUAGGGCCACACCCACAGCACAUGGAGGUUCCCAGGCUAGGGGUCUAAUUGGAGCUGUAGCCUCCGGCCUAUACCAGAUCCGUAGCAACUCGAGAUCCGAGCCACAUCUGC
rnacentral:lncRNA from 1 species